UACAAGGUUCCCGGAUAAAAGUCACGGAAUGGGAGUGAUUCCUUCCGCGGUGAACACUUAUCGAAGCCUUGGAAUGCGGCCUCGCAAGAGGUAAGCCUGGCGACUAAUAAACAAUUCAGGCCUCGCGCAAGUCAGCCCCCAGCCGGGCCGGCGACACUUUCGAAUUGCGGGGACAUCCUUAGAGCUUAGGCCUACCAAACCGGAGGGGAAACCCGCCGGCGGCCCGUGUUAACGGCACGGGGUACGGUAAGAAGGGCCUGAGAUUGGACAAUCCGCAGCCAAGUCCCUAAGGGCGGCACGGCCGCCUACGGGAAAGGUUCACAGACUAAGUGGAAGUGGGUAGGGGCCUGCCCGGCCCCUGCUUAAGAUAUAGUCGGGCCCCGAGGGAAACCUCGGGGGGAAGUUCACCGCUUCAGAGCCGUUCCGUAGGUGAACCUGCGGAAGGAUCAUUACCGAGUUCCGGGCCCCAGUGGCCCGCUCUCCAACCUUUUUAAAACCCAACUCAGUGAAAUGUACCGUCUGAUCAGAUAUUCAAAUAUCUUAAAACUUUCAACAACGGAUCUCUUGGUUCUGGCAUCGAUGAAGAACGCAGCGAAAUGCGAUAAGUAAUGUGAAUUGCAGAAUUCAGUGAAUCAUCGAAUCUUUGAACGCACAUUGCGCCCCUUGGUAUUCCGGGGGGCAUGCCUGUUCGAGCGUCAUUGCAACCCUCAAGCUCUGCUUGGUAUUGGGCGUCGUCCCGCGGCGGACGUGCCUCAAAGGCCUCGGCGGCGGCUUUCCGGCCUCAAGCGUAGUAACACACGAUUCUCGCUUUGGAGUCUGGGAGGUCGCCCGCCGGACGAACCCUUUUGUCUUCUCUUUUUUUAAAGGUUGACCUCGGAUCAGGUAGGGAUACCCGCUGAACUUAAGCAUAUCAAUAAGCGGAGGA
rnacentral:rRNA from 1 species